UGUCUCGACGGGGUCCGGAGGGCGCCCUUUCCACGAGGGGAGCGCCACGACCGGUCCGCCGGCGGCCAGAAGUCUCGGGGAAAGGUAGCGGGACCGGCUUUCGGGUCGGCUCCGUGUUAUAGUCCCCGGGUUCGGAGGCCCGCCGGAGAACCGAGGAAUCGCAUGCCGCCGCUUCCGUCUCCUUCGGGACGACGCGGGCCCCUGCGUCGGCAGGUCGGGUCGAGGAUGGACUGUUCACAGUGUGUUCCGACUGCCGGGCUCGUCGGCCGUGGGUGUGCUCCCGUUUGGAAGCCUAGGGUCCGUGGCGAAUCGAUCGGCACCCCAUCAGACCCGUCUUGAAACACGGACCAAGGAGUCUAACAUGUGCGCGAGUCAUUGGGCUCUACGAAACCCACAGGCGCAAUGAAAGUGAAGGGCGUUCUCGGAGCGUCCGUGGCAGGAUCCGUCCUCCCCGGAGGGCGGCGCACUGCCGGCCCGUCUCGGUCGCCACGUCGACGAGGCGGAGCGAGAGCGUACACGUUGGGACCCCAAAGA
rnacentral:rRNA from 1 species